rnacentral:lncRNA from 1 species
UUUCCAACUUCUGGCCUCUGUACCAACAGACACUCUGCUGUUGGAGCCAGCCGGUCAGUGGUAGUGUGUGCGGCACCCGCAGGGAGCGAGCACAGCUGGCGGACGCAGCGGGCCCGGGCUCCUCCACCCCGUGCGGGGCAUGCGGCUGUCACCUCUGAUGCACCAGCAGUGCGUCCAUUGUCGAGACGUCUGCUCAGGCCCAGUGGGCUCUGCUCAGCAGCUGGCCUCCUCCAGCUCCCUGGCUGUCCAGCUAGGGCUCACCCCAAGCUCACUGAUAUCAAGAGAAGAGGGACAUUCAGCUAUACCCAGAAUCUCCAUCGCCUAAACCUGUGGUCCCUUUGGAUUCCAGCAGAGCCUCCUCUGACUGAAGUUGUCUCUCAGGUCAUGAAGAGUCACCUCAUGGGAACCAAACUGCCCCUCAUGUGGAGAGGAGUCCUCCGGAGCUGUGAACCCAGACUGAGUUAAAGAAGUCUCGGCACACCAGAUGUAGGGGUGCAUGUCUGCAGCGCCAGCUUCUCAGGGGGUUGAGGCAGGAGAAUUGCAAGUUUGAGACCUGCCUGGGCAAUUCAGCAAGACUCUGUCUCCAAAAACUAAACCAAACCAAACCAGGAUGGAGUUCAG